AUCCAGCUGGUGAGUCGUAAAUAGGACGAAACGCGCGUCCUGGAU
rnacentral:hammerhead_ribozyme from 1 species